UAAUAUCGCGAUCCUUCUCUGGUGUUCCUUGUUUUAGCUGACGACACUCGAGAGCGCCAAUUUUCCUAGAUUCGAUUUUGUGGUUUGGAACUGUGGUUUUGGAAUCCAGAGUAGUCGCCUCGUUCUAGUAUCCAAUUGCUCCAGCACCAACUGGUGAAAAGACCAUCAUUCUUCUACUCAGUUGCAUUUGAAGCUUUGUCAAAAACCAGACACAAUUGGAGACACAGGUUCUUCUAUCAAGGCCUUGACUGGAAUGGCAUAUUUUCAGAUAUGACCACAUUGCUUUGAGGAAAUGAGGCUGAUGUUGCAGAGCUGAUAAAACCCCCACAGAAAGGCCAGCCUACCUCUGCCAUGAGAGGAUACAGUGAGAAGAGGGUGAUCUGUAAACCCAGAAGAGUGCCCUCCCCAGACACUGGAACUUCUAACACUUUGAUCUUGAAUUUCCCAACCUCCAGAACUAUGAGAAAUAAAUGUUUGUUCUUUAUGCCACCCAACAUUUGAUAUUCUUGUACAGCAGCCUGAAUUAAGAUAGUCACAGUGCGUAAUGUUUUGUUAUUUUAUUCAGUUUGCUAAUAUUUUGUGGAGGACCUUUGAAUCUAUGUUCAUGAAAGCUAUUGGUAUGUAGUUUUUUGUUUUUUUGUUGUUGUUUUUAUUUUUUUGUACUGGUUUUGAUAUUUGGGUGAUACUAGCCUCACAGUGAGUUGGGGACUGUUCUUUCUUUCUGGAAAAGAUUGUGAAAAUGCAUUGUUAUCUCUUUGAAUGUUUUGUAGAAUUCUGCAGUGAAACCAUCUGGGCCUGGGAUUUUUUAGGAGAUUUUUUAAAAUAAAUUCAGUUUCUUUAAUGGUUAAUAUAGGGCUACCUAAAUUAUCUAUUUCAUCUUGGUUGUGUUUGGUAGUUUGUGGUUCCUCAAAAGGCUUCAUUACUUCUAAGUUUUCAGUAAAAAAACUGUUUUAGAGUAUAAAACUUUGUGUAAUAUUUUCUUAUUAUCUUAGUGGCUACAGGAUAUGAAGUGACAUCCCCUGUUUUAUUCCUCAUAUUGGUGAUAUCUGUUUUCUCUUAAUUUUUGUGACUCUUGAAAGAAGUUUGUACAUUUUAUUGAUUUAAAAAAGAAACAGGCCGGGUGCGGUGGCUCAUGCCUGUAAUUCCAGCACUUUGGGAGGCCGAGGCAGGCAGAUAACGAGGUCAGGAGAUCAAGACCAUCCUGGCUAACACGGUGAAACCCCGUCUCUACUAAAAAUACAAAAAAUUAGCCAGGCAUGGUGGCGGGCGCCUGUAGUCCCAGCUACUCGGGAGGCUGAGGCAGGAGAAUGGUGUGACCCUGGGAGGCGGAGCUUGCAGUGAGCCAAGAUCGUGCCACUCCAUUCCAGUCUGGGCGACACAGUGAGACUCCGUCUCAAAAAAAAAAAAGAAAAGAAAAAAAAGAAAGAAAUCGUCUUUUACUUCAUUAAAUUUUCUUCUCUGCUAUUUCUUAUUUCUAAUUUUAUUAAUUAUUGUUCUGAUCUCUAUAUUAUUUCCUUCCUUUUUUUUAAGAAAGAGAGACUCUCACUCUGUCACCCAGGCCGGAGUGCAGUGGUGCGAUCAUAGCUCACUGCAGUCUUGAACUCCUGGGCUCAAGCAGUUCUCCUAUCUCAGAGUAGCUGGGACUACAGGACACACCACCAUGCCUAAUUUUUAAAAUGUUUUGUAGAAAUGAGGUCUCGCUAUGCUGCCCAAGCUGGUCUUGAAAUCCUGGCUCAAGUGAUCCUCCCUGCCUUGGCUUUCCUAAGUGCUGGGAUAAUAGGUGUGAGCCACCAAGCCUGACCUCCUUCUUCUUGAUUGCUUUGGGUUUAUUUUCCUCUGCUUUCUCUAGUGCCUUAUGGUAGGAGCUUAGAUUGACUUGAGUCCUUUUCUCAUGUUUAAUGUAAACAUUUAAUGCUACAGUUUUGCUCUCAAAAAUCCUUUAGCUGUAUCCAACAUGUUUUGGUAUGUUGUAUUUUCAUAUUCCUUAAGUUUCAUUUUUAACUUGAGAUUUUCCUCUUUGUCCCAGCAAUGAUUUAAAAUUUAUGUUGUUCAAUUUCUCUGUGUUUAGAGAGUUUCCUGUUGUCUUCGUUAUUGAUUAUCUGUUUGAUUCCAAUAUUGUCAGGAAACAUGCUACGUAUACUUUCAUUUAUUUUGCAUUUGUUGAAGUUGUUGUAUGGCUCAGGACAUGGUCUAUCUUGAUGAAUCUUCCAUGAACAAUUGAAAAAAAAGUGUACUCUGCUUAUUGGGUGGAGUGAUGUGUCACUCCAUGAUUGGUUGAUUAUAUUAGUCAGAUCUUCUAUAUUCUCGCUAAUUUACUGUCAGUAGCUUUGUCACUUGCUGAAAGAUCAUGUUGCAUUUUCCAAUAAUAAUUGUGGAGUUGUCUGUUUUUCCUUUUAAGUCUAUCAGUUUUGCUUCAUGUAUUUUAAGACUGUUUUUUGGUUUAUACACAUUUGAGAUCAUUAAGUUUUCCUUGUCAAUUGAAUUUUUCAUUAACAUGUAUUAUCUCUCUCUGUCAUCUCUACCC
rnacentral:lncRNA from 1 species